CGCGUUAACUACAAUCCUAUCUCAAUUAUCACAUUAAUCUCAAUUAACUCAACUAAUCAAAAACAAAAAUAAAAAGGGGAAUUAGGUUACUUGUUUGUGACGAUUGAGAUCUCCUUCCUCUCUUCUUCGUGUAAGCUUGUGCACGGCGCCUCCCUCACAGACGCGACGGCGACGGUGAAGUCUCCCUCUCCGUUUUUCUUUCACAUCUCAGCCUCUCAUCCCUCACAAUUCUGAUUUCAUCUUCUCUCCGAUUCAACUCUAUCAUCCUCGCGUAACAGUGCGGCGGCCGGAGAAUGAUUUGCUUCGAUGAAGAUUCGUCAUCCGCCACUGUGAGUAUCAAAACGAAACCAAAGCCAACUCUCAUCUUGCUAACCCCGUUUUAUCCUCAAGUCUCAGGUUCUCUCUCAGUUUUCUCCGAUCAAUCGAAAUCGCACAUCAAAAAGAAAACGAGAAUGGAGCACGCCCAGAGCGUCUUCGAAGGUGUUAUAACGAGAAUCCGAGAACCAGAUGCUUCGAAUCAUAGAGAGGCGAUGAAGAUGGAUAUUGAAUUGUUGAAGGUGAUUGCAGAAGCGUUGGUGAACUUUCGAAGAUGAAGUUUGACGUGAUGAGACCGAUUGAAGAAUGAAGAUUCUUUUCUAGAAUGAUUGAAGAGUGGAUCGAAUUGAGUGUUGAUGCAGAUUGAAGAAGAUUAAUUUGGUGUAGAGAGAGUGUGAAGGUUGAUGAACAAAAAUGGUGGUGAUUGGUGUGUGUGAAUGAGGCAUGAAGAAAGUGGAAGAUUGAAGGUGAUGAUUGUAAUGAAGAAGCUCUGUAGAUGAUGGAUAGUGAUAAUGGUGGGAGAGAAAUGAAGAUGAAGGUGGUGAAAAUGAGAGAAUGGAGAGGAGGUUCUGAAUGAUGGUGAUUCUGAUUUAUAGAAGCUGAAGGUUAGUUAAGUUCUGAUUUUCUUUCUGUUAUUUUCAGUUAGGUUAGUUAUGAAAUCUAGAAAGUAGUUAUGAGAUGGUUGGGUUAGUUAUGAACUGGUCCCAGUUCUGUUUUGGUGGUUAGUUUCUGUUAGGAGUGGUGAGAGUUAGUUAUGAUUUCUGUUAUGGGUUGUUAGAACAAUUAGGUUUUGAAACUGUUUAUUGAUUGCUGAAUGUAUUGGCUGCAGUUUUGUUUUGUGCAGCGUUAUGAUUGAGGUUAAUGGCUUGGUCAAUGGCAGGGUAUAACAUGACAUGGAAAUCUUGGAAGUAAAAGGAGAUUAGCUUUGAUAAUGUUCCUUUUUGUGAAUUUUCGAUGGCUGCAGAAAGUGUAUGUGCAGAAUUUUGUGGUAACUUGUUAGCUUGUAUAGGUUAGGGAUUUAGGUUUGUACGGGUGUUUAUUUAUGGCUGAAUGGUGAACGAAUGAUGUGUGAAUUUAGUUUGAAUUCUUAUAUUGUGUAUGCAGGUUUCGGUUUAUUUUUAAGGUGAACCUAAUUUGAAGAACCUGAUAUGACAAAGUGAGGACCACAUGGCUAGACUUUCAAUGAUGCAAGAGUUUUAUAGGUGGAAGUGGCAUAGGUUUAAGGGUAGAUUUAUGAGUUUCCUUGUAAUCGUAACGGAUUUUUGAAAUGUAUGAAUUUUGGAAUGGUGUAAUGUUUGGUUUAUAUGUAAUUAUGCAAGGCUGGUUGUUUAUGGUUUAAAUAGAGUACAGUAGGAAAUUUUAUAGUAGAAUGUAUGAAUGGUAGCAUGGUUUAGACAUCUCCAUGGACUUUGCAUUUGAUGAUGAAAUUGGAUAUUGAUGAUAAUGGGUUGAUGAUGUGGACUUUUUGUAAUAGAUUUUGAAUGGAACUUGAAUGGAUAAUUGUGAUGAACUUUUGUGAUCUUAUUUUGAAAUAUAACUUGGCCUUGUGUGCCUUAUUACUUAA